GUGCCAGCAGCCGCGGUAAUACGGAGGGUGCAAGCGUUAAUCGGAAUUACUGGGCGUAAAGCGCGCGUAGGUGGCUUGAUAAGCCGGUUGUGAAAGCCCCGGGCUCAACCUGGGAACUGCAUCCGGAACUGUCAGGCUAGAGUGCAGGAGAGGAAGGUAGAAUUCCCGGUGUAGCGGUGAAAUGCGUAGAGAUCGGGAGGAAUACCAGUGGCGAAGGCGGCCUUCUGGACUGACACUGACACUGAGGUGCGAAAGCGUGGGUAGCAAACAGGAUUAGAUACCCUGGUAGUCCACGCCGUAAACGAUGUCGACUAGCCGUUGGGAGCCUCGAGUUCUUAGUGGCGCAGUUAACGCAAUAAGUCGACCGCCUGGGGAGUACGGCCGCAAGGUUAAAACUCAAAGGAAUUGACGGGG
rnacentral:rRNA from 1 species